UACCAGCUCUCCGAGUGGUAGGGAUGUUUAUUGGGCUUAAAGCGUCCGUAGUCGGCUUAGCAAGUCUCCUGUUAAAUUCAGCGACCUAAUCGUUGAGCCGCGGGAGAUACUACUAGGCUAGGAGGCGGGAGAGGUCAACGGUACUUCCGGGGUAGGGGUGAAAUCCUAUAAUCCCGGGAGGACCACCAGUGGCGAAGGCUGUUGACUAGAACGCGCUCGACGGUGAGGGACGAAAGCUGGGGGAGCGAACCGGAUUAGAUACCCGGGUAGUCCCAGCUGUAAACGAUGCGAGCUAGGUGUUGGGGUGGCUACGUGCCACUUCAGUGCCGCAGGGAAGCCAUUAAGCUCGCCGCCUGGGGAGUACGGCCGCAAGGCUGAAACUUAAAGGAAUUGGCGGGGAGCACCACAAGGCGUGAAGCUUGCGGUUC
rnacentral:rRNA from 1 species